rnacentral:rRNA from 1 species
GACGAACGCUGGCGGCGUGCUUAACACAUGCAAGUCGAACGGAAAGGCCCUGCUUUUGUGGGGUGCUCGAGUGGCGAACGGGUGAGUAACACGUGAGUAACCUGCCCUUGACUUUGGGAUAACUUCAGGAAACUGGGGCUAAUACCGGAUAGGUGCUCCUGCUGCAUGGGGGGGGUUGGAAAGUUUCGGCGGUUGGGGAUGGACUCGCGGCUUAUCAGCUUGUUGGUGGGGUAGUGGCUUACCAAGGCUUUGACGGGUAGCCGGCCUGAGAGGGUGACCGGCCACAUUGGGACUGAGAUACGGCCCAGACUCCUACGGGAGGCAGCAGUGGGGAAUAUUGCACAAUGGGCGGAAGCCUGAUGCAGCAACGCCGCGUGCGGGAUGACGGCCUUCGGGUUGUAAACCGCUUUCGCCUGUGACGAAGCGUGAGUGACGGUAAUGGGUAAAGAAGCACCGGCUAACUACGUG